AGUGAACGCUGGCGGUAGGCCUAACACAUGCAAGUCGAACGGCAGCACAGUAAGAGCUUGCUCUUACGGGUGGCGAGUGGCGGACGGGUGAGGAAUACAUCGUAAUCUACUUUUUCGUGGGGGAUAACGUAGGGAAACUUACGCUAAUACCGCAUACGACCUACGGGUGAAAGCAGGGGAUCUUCGGACCUUGCGCGAUUGAAUGAGCCGAUGUCGGAUUAGCUAGUUGGCGGGGUAAAGGCCCACCAAGGCGACGAUCCGUAGCUGGUCUGAGAGGAUGAUCAGCCACACUGGAACUGAGACACGGUCCAGACUCCUACGGGAGGCAGCAGUGGGGAAUAUUGGACAAUGGGCGCAAGCCUGAUCCAGCCAUACCGAGUGGGUGAAGAAGGCCUUCGGGUUGUAAAGCCCUUUUGUUGGGAAAGAAAAGCAGCAGGUUAAUACCCCGCUGUUCUGACGGUACCCAAAGAAUAAGCACCGGCUAACUUCGUG
rnacentral:rRNA from 1 species